CCUACGGGUGGCAGCAGUGAGGAAUAUUGGUCAAUGGGCGCGAGCCUGAACCAGCCAAGCCGCGUGAGGGAUGAAGGUACAGAGUAUCGUAAGCCUCUUUUGUCAGGGAACAAAGGCGGGGACGCGUCCCCGGAUGAGUGUACCUGAAGAAAAAGCAUCGGCUAACUCCGUGCCAGCAGCCGCGGUAAUACGGAGGAUGCGAGCGUUAUCCGGAUUUAUUGGGUUUAAAGGGUGCGCAGGCGGUCUGUUAAGUCAGCGGUCAAAGCCCGGGGCUCAACCCCGGCCCGCCGUUGAAACUGGCAGUCUCGAGUUGGAGAGAAGUAUGCGGAAUGCGCGGUGUAGCGGUGAAAUGCAUAGAUAGCGCGCAGAACUCCGAUUGCGAAGGCAGCAUGCCGGCUCCACACUGACGCUGAGGCACGAAAGCGUGGGUAUCGAACAGGAUUAGAUACCCCUGUAGUC
rnacentral:rRNA from 1 species